AAAUUGAAGAGUUUGAUCAUGGCUCAGAUUGAACGCUGGCGGCAGGCCUAACACAUGCAAGUCGAACGGUAACAGGAAGCAGCUUGCUGCUUCGCUGACGAGUGGCGGACGGGUGAGUAAUGUCUGGGAAACUGCCUGAUGGAGGGGGAUAACUACUGGAAACGGUAGCUAAUACCGCAUAACGUCGCAAGACCAAAGAGGGGGACCUUCGGGCCUCUUGCCAUCGGAUGUGCCCAGAUGGGAUUAGCUUGUUGGUGGGGUAACGGCUCACCAAGGCGACGAUCCCUAGCUGGUCUGAGAGGAUGACCAGCCACACUGGAACUGAGACACGGUCCAGACUCCUACGGGAGGCAGCAGUGGGGAAUAUUGCACAAUGGGCGCAAGCCUGAUGCAGCCAUGCCGCGUGUAUGAAGAAGGCCUUCGGGUUGUAAAGUACUUUCAGCGGGGAGGAAGGGAGUAAAGUUAAUACCUUUGCUCAUUGACGUUACCCGCAGAAGAAGCACCGGCUAACUCCGUGCCAGCAGCCGCGGUAAUACGGAGGGUGCAAGCGUUAAUCGGAAUUACUGGGCGUAAAGCGCACGCAGGCGGUUUGUUAAGUCAGAUGUGAAAUCCCCGGGCUCAACCUGGGAACUGCAUCUGAUACUGGCAAGCUUGAGUCUCGUAGAGGGGGGUAGAAUUCCAGGUGUAGCGGUGAAAUGCGUAGAGAUCUGGAGGAAUACCGGUGGCGAAGGCGGCCCCCUGGACGAAGACUGACGCUCAGGUGCGAAAGCGUGGGGAGCAAACAGGAUUAGAUACCCUGGUAGUCCACGCCGUAAACGAUGUCGACUUGGAGGUUGUGCCCUUGAGGCGUGGCUUCCGGAGCUAACGCGUUAAGUCGACCGCCUGGGGAGUACGACCGCAAGGUUAAAACUCAAAUGAAUUGACGGGGGCCCGCACAAGCGGUGGAGCAUGUGGUUUAAUUCGAUGCAACGCGAAGAACCUUACCUGGUCUUGACAUCCACAGAACUUUCCAGAGAUGGAUUGGUGCCUUCGGGAACUGUGAGACAGGUGCUGCAUGGCUGUCGUCAGCUCGUGUUGUGAAAUGUUGGGUUAAGUCCCGCAACGAGCGCAACCCUUAUCCUUUGUUGCCAGCGGUCCGGCCGGGAACUCAAAGGAGACUGCCAGUGAUAAACUGGAGGAAGGUGGGGAUGACGUCAAGUCAUCAUGGCCCUUACGACCAGGGCUACACACGUGCUACAAUGGCGCAUACAAAGAGAAGCGACCUCGCGAGAGCAAGCGGACCUCAUAAAGUGCGUCGUAGUCCGGAUUGGAGUCUGCAACUCGACUCCAUGAAGUCGGAAUCGCUAGUAAUCGUGGAUCAGAAUGCCACGGUGAAUACGUUCCCGGGCCUUGUACACACCGCCCGUCACACCAUGGGAGUGGGUUGCAAAAAGAAGUAGGUAGCUUAACCUUCGGGAGGGCGCUUACCACUUUGUGAUUCAUGACUGGGGUGAAGUCGUAACAAGGUAACCGUAGGGGAACCUGCGGUUGGAUCACCUCCUUACCUUAAAGAAGC
rnacentral:rRNA from 1 species